CUCUACUAUAAAUCUUUUGGUAAUUUCUUGCAAUGGAAGUAAUUGUUCUUUCUUUGAUCCCAUGAGCAAUUUCUCUAUACCUUUCUUGGAGUAUGUACUACUUCCUACCAAGGUUAUACUUCUGUUCAUUUCCCUCCCGACGCUGCUGCCAACUCCAUAACGGCAGUGUCUACAUCCCUAAUGUGGCCAUCUAAGGGGGCUGCUGUCUCCUGAGAGCACUGGUUUUUCAUUAAGAGAGUCCUCUUGAGCUUUACUUUCUAAGCUCUAGCCCUGCGACAGACCUUCAGUUAGAACGUGUGCUUUUAUCAUGAGCGUACACGUUUUCCAACAUCCAGUCCCCAAAGAAUGAUUUUCAGUUGAUGCACAGUGCCAAAAGGCAGAGGUGUGGUUUUUAGAGCAUUCCCUUAGCUCCCUUGCCUUGCAAAACUCUGCUGCCUUCCCGUUAAAGAGUUGGCUGUGCCAAGGAGGCAGAGCUCUUCCCACCCUCCUCUCCAACAGAGUUGGGAGAACAUGUUUCACUCUUUCGGAGGUUAUGCUUUUUGUCUUACAGGGAGACGAGCCCAAAUGAGAUCAGUUUUCAGCAAGUCUUUUGUUGCCAUGAGGAAGAAGAGACUGUCAGCUUGUUGCUUCUCCCAAACAGAGCCAGAAAUCUAUCUAUGAUGAGAUGAAGGACCUCACAGAGCCUGAUUGCUGUGAUUCCAGACUACAGCCAGUGAACAAAAAAGGAGAACCCUGAAGUUCCUGGCCCUGCAGGAAGUGUCCCGGAUGUGAGACGAAGUAGAAAAAUGUCCCCCAAAUCAAUAAGCUGGAGAAGAGAAAGGCCAACACGAGCAGUAGAUUGGGAAGGGAAGACGUGUAUAUCCUCCUGGGUGACAUCACCACCGCUCUGCCGAUGCAAUCGUCGUUACAUCUCUCAAGGAAGUUCUUUUGUGGCCCAGCCAUCUAGUCAUCCCACUCAGCCCCACUCCAUGCAUUCCAGGUUAAAGACAUUAGUGUUCCAGGAGAAACCACAGCAAAUAAUCAGACUCCCCACUCUUCUGUUUCUCACCAACUCAUCAUGAUCAGUUUCACUGGUGACAAUUACAUAUAUUCAUUCAGUGUACCACACAGGUACAAUUCUGGCUAAAGCAGAUUCUGUGGAUCAUGAUUAAGUUUGCCUAUUCUGAUCAUCUGAAUUUUGGUCGUACCUGUUAGGAAGAAGGACUUGAAUCUGGAUCCAAUGCUAAUGUGCUAUCUUAUAUUUGGCAGUUUAAUUUGCUUAAAUGAACCAGAAUCUUCAUCUGCAAAAGGAGAUCCUAAUUCCAAACUCUUAGUGCUGUUGUGAGAGUGCUUAGACAACCACAUAGCACGUUAUCUGGAAAACCUUAAACAACAGCUUUAAAAGAAAUUAUCAGGGAGUUCCCAUCGUGGCUCAGUGGUUAGCAAAUCCGACUAGGAAC